rnacentral:rRNA from 1 species
AGAGUUUGAUCCUGGCUCAGAACGAACGCUGGCGGCAUGGAUUAGGCAUGCAAGUUGAACGAACUCCUUCGGGAGUGAGUAGCGGAAGGGUGAGGAACGCGUGAGUAAUCUGCCCCCCAGUUGGGAAUAACAGUUGGAAACGACUGCUAAUACCGAAUGUGGCUUAAGCUUCGCCUGGAGCUUUGGCUAAAGAUUUAUCGCUGGGGGAUGAGCUCGCGUCCCAUUAGCUAGUUGGUGAGGUAACGGCUCACCAAGGCGACGAUGGGUAGCUGGUCUGAGAGGAUGGUCAGCCACACUGGGACUGAGACACUGCCCAGACUCCUACGGGAGGCUGCAGUCGAGAAUCUUGGGCAAUGCGCGAAAGCGUGACCCAGCAAUGCCGCGUGUAUGAUGAAGGCCCUCGGGUCGUAAAGUACUGUCUCCCGUGACGAAAUUUGACGGUAGCGGGGAAGGAAGCCACGGCUAACUACGUGCCAGCAGCCGCGGUAAUACGUAGGUGGCGAGCGUUGUUCGGAUUUAUUGGGCGUAAAGGGUCUGUAGGAGGUUUGUUAAAUACGGGGUGAAAUCCCGAAGCUCAACUUCGGAAUUGCCUUGUAGACUGACGGACUGGAGUACCGGAGAGGUAAGCGGAAUACCAGGUGUAGCGGUGGAAUGCGUAGAUAUCUGGUAGAACACCAAAAGCGAAGGCAGCUUGCUGGACGGAAACUGACUCUGAAAGACGAAAGCAUGGGGAGCAAACAGGAUUGGAUACCCUGGUAGUCCAUGCCGUAAACGUUGUCAACUUGAUGUGGGGGGAUU